rnacentral:piRNA from 1 species
AGGAAGGGAAUUCUGUCCUCAGA